rnacentral:tRNA from 1 species
UAAUAGAAACCAAAUUAGAGGUAAAUUAUUGUUAAUAAUUAUAUUGAAUAUAAUAUUAAUAUUCCUGUUAG